CACAAGGAGUUAUAUGACAACAGAAGGGCUGACUGGCCUCUCUUCCUGCUUGCAGACCUUCUGGAACCCCGUCUACCUGGGCAGCCUUUUGCCAGCAUACCUGCUCAUGGUGGCCAUGGCGGUCUGGGCUUAUCAUCUCUCCGGAGGCUCCAGAAAGAACCUGCAGCAUUUUCUCCUCUGUCUUCGGACGGCACCCCAGGCGGGAUCCUGAGCCUUCCAGCCACGUUGCCAGGAAGCUGAGGCCCCCAGACUCUCCAGAGGGCACCGGGUGAUUGUGCCCUUGGAAGACGGGGGCGGAAGACGGGACGGCGGCUGUGGAGACGGCUUCCCUCAAGCAGCCCCAGGAAAUCUGUCUGUCCAGUGCUACCGCUGCAUCUCCCCUCUGGCUCCUUAGACUUCUUGGGGAGGGAGGGAGGGGGAAAGGGGGCUUGGCUGAGCAGCCAGGUGAUCUGUAUGGGGCAGAGAAAGGGCCUUUGAUCUGCUGCUCUGGGAGGGGGGGGGGGCAGCCAGUCUUGCAUUGCUUGAAAGCCGGGAGCAGAAGCUGGAGAGAGAGCUCUGUGACUUCCCUUCUGAAGUAGCACCAAUAAAGAGACUGGCUGAAA